CUCUCCUGCGGGGAGAAGAUGCUGCUGAAGGGUGCCCUUUGGUCAUUGUGCUGGGCACUGGGCCACUGGACUGAGCAGCUUUGACUCUGCCAAGGGCCUCCCUACCCAGCAUGGUCCCAUGAAUAGAGGCCAGGGCAGGGGACUGAGCCAGGGAGGCACCUGCCUGCACAGAGGGCAUUUUAGCACAUGCCACUCCUGAGCCCUCUGUGGACAGCAACCUGACAGCAGCCCUGAGGCCUCAGGUGGCCAGGCACCGGGGCAGUGCUGGCCGACUCCCUCACCACAGGUACCUAGGUGGGCCUGAGCGCCCCAGGGCCCGCCUCUCUCCAGCAGGGCCACCGUGCAGGUGCCUGGGUGUGGAUCAGUGGAUGCCUCCUGAGAGCCCCACACCCAGCAGGCGAACCGAGGCAGCGCUGGUGCCUCCCCUACGACCCUUCUGCAGCCGCUGUAUCUAUCGACCAUCUUAGAUGGGGACACAAGAAGGGCGGCUGGGCACACCCUGGUCUGGAAGCCAGGAUGGAGGCCCUGGGGGCUCAGGCUGCCCUCAGGCAGGGGACUUCCCUCUCUUCUGGCUCUGAGACCAAGAGGCCCCUGCAACAGGUACCGCUCAUGGGAACCUGGUGGCUUCAGCAGUGCUCGCCCAGGCCACGGUGCCCAUCGAGGCUGCUCCCUUCCCGAUCCGCAGUUCUCCUCGCCCAGCAUCACAGUAAGCCCUCUCUGUGCCACUGAAAGAGGACAGCGACGGCAGGAGGGAGAACCAAGGACACCACACUGAGUUCUGAGGACGGUUUAUCCCAGGAGAGGAAAAGGAGACCGCGGGGAAGCAGGGCACACCGGGACCUGGAGGGACUUCAAGUCCUGGCAAAGCCUCCACCAGUUCAGGGCCUGGGCACCAGCAGUGGCCCCUUCCCCCUCCUCCUGCAGAAUUCCUCCCUGCAGCGUCCCUGAUGGCAGAGCCCCAUGCGAGGUCCUGGACCCCACAAGGGCAGAGCAGCAGGGACCCUUGAAGUGCAGAGUGAGCUGGGAAGGCCCACAGGGGCACUGGGCACUGGUCCCCUUCUGAACCUAGUGGCCACUGCAAUUCAUCUAGCUGCUUUGGUUCCACGGGCCUGCACGUCGGGGGACCCGCAGGACUAGACUGGCUUUUCCCAGGAGGAGACAGAAAGCAGCCAGGGACUGCCAAGGGCCAGAGGGAGAAAGAGCGGGCAGUGGGGCAGAGUGCUAACGGGCAGGGGCUUCAUCUGGGGGUGAUGGAAAUAUGUUAGAAUUAGGUCAGGCUGACGGCCCCGCAACUCUGUGAAUAUUCUAAAAUCCGCUGAAUCAUCGAUUGUAAAAGGAUGGAUUUUAUGAUAUGCAAAUUACCUCAAUUUAAAAGUUUGAAACCAUGGGAGAAAGAAGCAGGACAUAGAGUCGUCCUCUGUUAGUGGAUUGGAAACAUUGAAAACACUGUGGUCAUUAUUCCCUAAAGGAGACGGAGUCACACCAUUUACACAGCUUCUGUGUGGUAUUGGCUACUGUAAGUAACCGAGAGGGCACUUGAAGCAUAAGGGAGGGUGAGCAGAGGGCACAUGCAAGUGGGACACAUUUACGCAGGGGCUGCAGCUUUGGCAGAUGUUGGUUCCCGUGGGAACCCAGGAGCCACCCCGCGUGCACAGGAGGGAUGACUGUUUGCUGUGUUGUUGGCAGUGACUUUGUUUCUCUCUGAGUUUGGCUCCUUUCUCAGGAAGGGCAAAGGCAGAAGCAGGGCAGAAAAGGCAAGGAAGGCCACCUGAGGAAGCUCUGGCUGGUGCCAGGCUGGGUGCGAGGGCUGCUGUCAUUGUCUCUGACAGUCAACCUCACAGCAGUCUGGAGGGGACGGCUCUGCAGCUGCACUCUGGGGUUGGACAAGGGAAACACCCGUGCUGGGGCCUCUGGCCAGUGCCACACAGGUGGGAGUCAAGCCCCAUUUCCCCCACAUCAUCAGAAGAGAGGGCCACAGCCCAGGGACGGUUUCCUUUGGAGUGUCACUGGGCGAGGGGCAGAGAGGAGAUGGGACAGCCUGAGCAGGACAGCGUGUGCACACACAGCGGCAGGACCACCAGGCAGGAAGGGUCAGGGGAUGCUGGAGACAUGGGGGCUGAGGCCAGAGCCUCUGGUGCAAGCCAAGUCAUGGUCCUUUGCUGUCACUAAGAGGGGACCGGCUGGAUGAGAGCCUGGGGCUACUUUCUUGACCUUGUUCCUAAGCUCCUGUGGUUCUCAGAACAAAGCAGCACCAAAGGGUUCACCUUGGCUUCCAGCUGAAAGGGAAUCUCCUGCAGAGGAUAGUGGACAGAGCCAGUCCUGGCCUCUACAGGACAUUCCAGGGAACUCAGCAGCACUGUUCAAGAUCAGCUCCCACAGCCCAAGCCCUUACCAAACAGGGUCCACCACAGAGAGGCAAGGCACAGCCUGUGCCAACCACCUGUGAAGGACAGGGUGUGGGCAACCUGCACUCCCUGGAGAGGGUGGCUCUCUACCCCUCUGAACACUCUUCCCUUCCACAGCAGCUGGUCCCACAAGGAGGCAGCACCUGUCCAUGAAUGCCCAUGGAGCCCUCACCAUCCCCAACCAGCCUCCAGGGAAGGACCCUGUGGCCACAGCUUCACAGAGCCCUGGAGGCUGCGUGUGGGUAGCCUUGUUUGCAUCAACCUGCCACUGGCCCUGAAGGGUCAGUCUGCCGCCAUGGCCACACCUGAGCCUAGAGAGUGCCAUCUAGUCCCCAAGAUGCCCCCAUUCAUUGCAGUCAAUGUGCUAUUCUGGACUCACUGUCUUGGGUGUGUGCUGUGACAAGGAUCCCAAGACCAUGGGACUGAUUUUAGGACUGUCUUCCCAUCUCCUUGAAUUAGAAGGAAGGGCGAAAUGAGCAUCGCGGGUGUGACCCCACCAGCUAGCCCACAGUGGGUGUCUGUGCCACUAGGGAGAAGGCCUGGAUGCCCUUCACCCAGCGCUGGUGACCAUCACUAGGUCCCUUGGGGCUGCUGGGGGUCUGCCCUGCCUUCUGUCGGCUUCCCCCCUUCCUCCAUCAGGUCCUGCAGAACUGCUGAUGCCGAGCCUGGCACCUUCCCUUCCGGGCACCAUCGCACAUGCCCUGGGGCUCUGAACCCUCGGAUUGGGACGCUCUUUAGGUGUGCAGCUUGAUUUUCAAAGUGAUAAAGAAAACAUCAAUCCCUCCACUCGUACGGGACAUCAUUCAUUCCAUCUGUGGACAUUCCCAGAAAGGACGGGAAGGUCUGAGACAGCAAAACAGUAGUAGGGGGCACCUUGGCACAGGCCCGUGGCACUGACUCCCUUGCUCUCAAUGCACCCACCUUCCACAGAGCUGUGGUCCAGCAUAUACCAGCCUGAGGGGGCCUGGCAAGCAGGGGUGGCCCCUGGGUAUAGUCAUCCUCACCUGCGACACCUUAAAGGCCGGGAGGACAAAGAAGGGAGAGAAGAAGAGAGUGCACAGGAAGGAGCUGCGUCGCUGGAGCAGGCAUGAAGACACUAGCUCCAGCGCAGCUUGCUUAAAGCUCCCGGGGUGCAGAACCUCCAAUGGGAGAGGGCGGCCCAGACCUCCGUGAAGACUGGACAUGAGGCACCCUGGACUCAGAGGACAGUCAGAGCCCCUCAUUGGGCCCCUCAUUGUGGUCGAGCAGAGGACAGCCAUCACCAGCAGAGAUGCUGCUUCCACGCAGAUUGCUGGACUAAGCAGAAAGUUAGGCAGGUGACAGUCCUGAUUCCCAGGGAUGAACGGUCAUCCCAGGGCCUCCCCAGACAGAAGGAGCUGAAGAGGGGCCCAAGGGAGAACAGCAGAGCACGUGCCAGCCUUGGGCUCUAUACAGCCAGGGGUAGGAAGAGGGGAGCAGCAGGGACUACCCUCGGCACUGGGUUGGGUUCUGAUCUUGCAGAACUUACUGGUGGGGGCAGGGGAAGGAGACGCACGCCUACCCCAGAAGUCGGCACCUCCACCCAGCCCUCCCGCCAGUGACCCUCGCCUCGGGCCCGUCCCAACAGCUCUCCUGCCACAAGCCUCACCAGAGCAGCUAAUGGAAAAUGGACGGCCACUGCCUCUUCCUCACUCCUUCCUCACCUUUGAGUGAGAUGCUAAUUAACUUGAAAGGACUCCAACACGGAUUUUGAAAAGUCACAGCCACUUCUUUCUCAGGUGUCCACACCGAUUUCCUCAUCUCUGUUGUCCCAAAUGUCAUUUUCUGAAACUGUCCCCAUGUCAUUUUCAUGCUCAUUCCCCUGGCCCCUGAAUCUCCUGGGUUAACGCAGGAAUAUUUAGAGGUGUGAUGAUUAGACUCCCAGAGCUGUCACCUAGUCCGUCCCUCUAGUUGGAAGGACGGAUGACAUGGUAACCGUGGGCAGGGGCCUGGCUGGAGGAAGCGGGUCCCGGGGCACAUGGCCUGGAAGGGUGCGUCUUCCCUUUGUCUCUACCGCACCCCACCUCUCUGUUUCCCAGCUGCUAAGAACAGAGCGGGUCCUCCACCAGGCCCUCCUGCCAGGAUGUUCUGCCCCACCUUGGGCCCAGAGCAACGAAGUCUGCCCACCAAGGACUCACACCUCCGAAGCCAGGAGCCAAAACAAACUUUUCCUCCUCUAAGUUGUCCUUGUCAGAAACAUCCUUUAUCAUCUCAAAACACACAUCAAGAGGAAAAUACACAGCCAAAGCAAAACUCCACCUUCGUCCAAUUUGCCAAGUUCCAUGCACAGAAACUUGAGGGAAAGUACUAGAAGAAAUUAUUCAACAAGAUGAAGAAAUAAACCAAGAAGAGAAAGAUGCAAAGUCCAGGAAACAAAGGAUCCUACUCGGGAAUCAAAUGCAAAGAGCCCAGGAGGAUCGUUCUAGACCAGGAUCAGAAACUACCCACUUAGUUGGAAGGAAUAGGUUAGAGGGCCGAGGCAGGAAAAUAGAGUUUCUAGAAUGUCUGUGAUAUAUAUGAGAAUUUUGCAAAUUUAUUAUAGCUCUUUAAUAUUAGAACAUUUGGAAAAGAUUAAUCAUAGGCAUAGGAAAAAACUCUAAGCAAAUGAAAAAAUAACAAGAAAUGAUUAACACUAGGAAAAACAUAAAGUCGUAUAAGAAGGAAAAAUACUCAAUAUAUACUCAUAAUAAUACAAAUGUUAACCAGUGAGUUAGUCAAAAAUUGGGUUAUACUUAUAUUGGUAGAAUAGAGAAAGGGGAGAGAUAUUGGUAUAAGAAUGCUAAGAUCUCAACUAUCAUAGGAGUGGACAGUAUUAAAAGCAAAUGAAUCUAGAAGUAGUGUCAUACCCGAUUAUUUUCAAAUAUGGGGGAAUUAUUAAAAAAACAGGUAACAGUGUUCUCGGGGUGCCACUGGAAGGCAGUCAGGGAGCUUGAGGGGGUGGGAUAAUGACCCUCCACUCUCCACCACAAGACUUUUAGUGUGUUGGAUGUUUUGAACUAUUUCUAUCUAUUGUUAUGACUAAACCAAUUGAAGUUUUAAGACAAAUAUGAAAUUGAAAUAUGAAUAAUUUCUAGGGGAUACUCUUCUGGAGGCCAUGCACGCCCUGGAGGUUUGUUGUAGGUGGUGAAACCCAUCUCCAUGUUCAGGCUCCACC